rnacentral:misc_RNA from 1 species
GAAAUGCGAUAAGUAAUGUGAAUUGCAGAAUUCAGUGAAUCAUCGAAUUUUUGAACGCACAUUGCGCCCCUUGGUAUUCCAUGGGGCAUGCCUGUUCGAGCGUCAUUUGUACCCUCAAGCUCUGCUUGGUGUUGGGUGUUUGUCCCGUCUCCGCGCGUGGACUCGCCCCAAAGUGAUUGGCAGCCGGCGUACUGGUCCCGGAGCGCAGCACAUGUCGCGCAAACGAGUGCCUUGGUACGGCGGCGUCCAUAAGCCCCUCUCUCACGCUCUUGACCUCGGAUCAGGUAGGGAUACCCGCUGAACUUAAGC